AGAGUUUGAUCCUGGCUCAGAAUGAACGUUGGCGGCGUGGAUUAGGCAUGCAAGUCGAACGGGUCCGGUUCGCCGGACCAGUGGCGGAAGGGUGAGUAAGGCGACGGCAACCAACCCCGAGGUCGGGCAUAGCCGCGGGAAACCGCGGGUAAUUCCCGGCGACGCGACGGCGUCGGCAUCGACGCUUCGCCAAAGGCUUCGGCCGCCUCGGGACGGGCCGUCGUGGUAUUAGGUUGUUGGCGGGGUAACGGCCCACCAAGCCUGCGAUGCCUACCGGGCGUGCGAGCGCGGCCCGGCACACUGGGACUGAGACACUGCCCAGACUCCUACGGGAGGCUGCAGUCGAGAAUCUUCGGCAAUGGGCGCAAGCCUGACCGAGCGACGCCGCGUGGAGGAUGAAGGCCCUCGGGUUGUAAACUCCUGUCGAGGGGGAGGAAGGGGCAACCUUGACCGAUCCCUGGAGGAAGCGCGGGCUAAGUUCGUGCCAGCAGCCGCGGUAAGACGAACCGCGCGAACGUUAUUCGGAAUCACUGGGCUUAAAGCGCGUGUAGGCGGAUCGGCGCGUCGGCACCUGAAAGCCCCCGGCUCAACCGGGGAAGCGGGUCCGAAACGGCCGGUCUCGAGGGAUGGAGGGGGACCUGGAACUUCCGGUGGAGCGGUGAAAUGCGUUGAGAUCGGAAGGAACGCCGGCGGCGAAAGCGAGGUCCUGGACGUCCACUGACGCUGAGACGCGAAAGCUGGGGGAGCGAACGGGAUUAGAUACCCCGGUAGUCCCAGCCGUAAACGAUGAGCACUGGGCGGGGGGCCCUCCGACGGGCUCCCAGCCGCAGGGAAACCGUGAAGUGCUCCGCCUGGGGAGUAUGGCCGCAAGGCUGAAACUCAAAGGAAUUGACGGGGGCUCACACAAGCGGUGGAGCAUGUGGCUUAAUUCGAGGCUACGCGAAGAACCUUAUCCCGGGCUUGACAUGCGAGGAUUAGUCGGCGGAAACGUCGGCGACGCCGCAAGGUGGAACUCGCGCAGGUGCUGCAUGGCUGUCGUCAGCUCGUGCCGUG
rnacentral:rRNA from 1 species